UUUGCCUGACCAGAGAUAACAAACAGGAUACCUUAUUCUGGUUUCUGAUUUCUCUUUUAUAGGAAAUAUUUUCAUGCCAUCCAUAGAACAAUAAAGGAAGCCAAAUGGAACCCCUGCGCCUCGCUCCCUGAAUCCAAGCAGCGAUGCCGCUACCCCGUGUUAAGGAUCCGUUUCUGAUUUAGAAGGGCCUAGACAUAAGCUCAUGAAGCCGAGCAUCCAAAAGCAAAACUCAACAUCAAACAUGUCUCGAACUAUGACGUGUACUUUCCAAUUUACCCUCGGAGUGGGAAUACUUCUGUCAUCUGUAUAGAAUUUAAAGGAAAAAUGCCCAUUAAGGAGGAGAAGGCAGGACCAGUCUACUACUGCAAGACUUAUGUAAUUGUCUGAAAUGAAGUAGACACAGUUACUUUCUUCAUGACUUUUAACCUAAUAAGUGGAGUAAAAUAUGUGCUGGAAGAGGGGAAACAGCAUGCAUUCCAUCUUUUGAAGGCACUCCUCAAAGAUGCCCCACUGGACUGCACCAGGCACCACAAUGCUGAGUCUACCUGACAUUCACCACUGAGUAAGAAAGGACAUAUUUUCCACCUGGGAGAAAUAAAGUCACAACUGCUGGAAAUGAAAUUGAACAGUUAUCCUACAAAUGCCCAGAAACUACACAUGCA
rnacentral:lncRNA from 1 species